ensembl:rRNA 5S_rRNA 5S ribosomal RNA
GCUUACGGCCAUACCAGCCCAAGAACUCCUGGUCUCGUCUGAUCUCGGAAGCUAAGAAGGCUUGGGCCUGGUUAGUACUUGGAUGGGAGACCUCCUGGGAAUACCAGGUGCUGUAAGCU